rnacentral:misc_RNA from 1 species
GUGAAUCAUCAAAUUUUUGAACGCAAAUUGCACUCUCUUCUGAGAGUAUGCCUGUUUGAGUGUCAGCCUCAAAAAAAUCCACGUAGUCUUUGUUUCGCGGUGACAUUCGUCUGAAAUUGGGUCAACUUAAACCUUUGGGCUUUUUAAGCGGCUUAAAAUUUUCUUUACGAUUCCACGAACGUUUCUAAUAUUCUACUUCUUACACACGUUUAAGGUAUUGCUCUCUAUUAGACGUUUCCGUUGCAUCGGGUUACGAUCAUAAAUAUUUCGUUAACUGACCUGAUUCAGGUA